rnacentral:lncRNA from 1 species
GCGGACUCCCGGCCGCAAACCUGAACCUAUAGGGGAGGAUCCGGGUGGGCAUCUAUACUAGGCGGCGGCUCUGGUUCGGGGCGUAGCCCCCACACCGCCCGCUGAUCCCCCCGCUUUUGUGUCGCCGGAGGAACCAGACCGUGGAUCAUCGCCGGAGGCUCUGAACUGCCGACCGCCGCUGAAGACUCUGGGCUGCAGGCCGCCACUGAAGACUCGGGGCUGCAGGCCGUCUCAGGAGGUUCCGGGCUGCAGGCCGUCUCAGGAGGUUCCGGGCUGCAGGCCGACGCUGGAGGCUCCGGGCUGCGGAGCGUCGCUGGAGGCUCCGGACUGGGGAGCGUCGCUGGAGCCUCCAGACUGGGGAGCGUCGCUGAAGGUUCCGGACUGGGGAGCGUCGCUGUAGGUUCCGGACUGGGGACCGUCGCUGCAGGCUCCGUGCCAUGGAUCAACACUACAGGUUCUGCACCAUGGAUCAUCACUGGAGGCUUUGUGCCAUGGAUCAUCACUGGAGGCUCCGGGCCAUGGAUUAUCACUGGAGGCUUCAUGCCAUGGAUCAUCCCUACAGGCUCCGGGCCAUGGUUCAUCUCUACAGGCUUCUUGCCAUGGAUUAUCCCUACAGGCUCCGGGCAUGGAUCAUCUCUACAGACUUCUUGUCAUGGAUUAUCCCUACAGGCUCUGGGCCAUGGAUCAUCACUGGAGGCUUCAUGCCAUGGAUCAUCACUGGAGGCUUCGGACCAUGGAUCAUCACUGGAGGCUUCUCUCGUGGAGCUGGAACGGGUCUCACCGGACUGAGGAGACGUACUGACAGCCUGGUACGUGGAGCAGGCACAGGGCGUACCAGGCUGAAUAGAAUCACUGGAGGGAGAGUGCGAGGAGCAGGCACAGGACGUACAGGGCUGUGGAGGCGCACUGGAGGGAGAGUGCGAGAAGCAGGCACAUGCUCACCACGAUAAGCACGGUGUGUUGGCUCAGGUCUCAACCCUGACUCCGCCAAUCUACCCGUGUGCCCCCCCAAAAAAUAUUUUGGGGGCUGCCUCUCGUGCUUCCUUCCUUGCCUCCCUGGCAGGUUUCUAUAUCUGUCCAAUACUUGCCCCCAAGUCCAGUCUAUUCUCUCCUCCCACUCUUCCAGAGACCAGGAAUCCAUCUCCUGCUUGAUCCAGUUGUGGUGGGUAGUUCUGUAACAACCGUCGCAAUGAGGGGACCAAGGUGCAGCGUGGUAAGUGUUCAUCUUGAUAUUUAGUUUUACUCAGAACACUUAAACAAAAUUAUAAACAAUGGAAACGAAAGUGCACAGUUCUGUCAGGUAAAACACAAAACAGAAAACAACUACCCAACACACACAGGUGGGAAAAGGCUGCCUAAGUAUGAUUCCUAAUCAGAGACAAUGAUAGACAGCUGCCUCUGAUUAGGAACCCUACUCGGCCCAACACAAAGAAAUACAAAACAUAGAAUGCCCACCCCACACCCUGACCUAACCACAUAGAGAAAUAAACCGUCUCUCUCAGGUCAGGGCGUGACAAUUUGUUUCCACUUUUGGUGCGGUUGUGGACUGUGACCAGUGUGUUUUCAUUACUGAACCCUGUUAUUGGAUGGAGCUGCCACAGCUAGGCUACAUCCAGAGUAAAGGGUGAAUGAGUAAAAAUCCUAUUUCAACCAGCUGGAGGGAGAGCAGUAUGGAUGAGUAUGGAGGAGUAUGGAGCAGUAUGGAGGAGUAUGGAGGAGUAUGGAGCAGUAUGGAAGAGUAUGGAGGAGUAUGGAGCAAACACACACACACACACACACACACACACACACACACACACACACACACACACACACACACACACACACACACACACACACACACACACACACACACACACACCACAUAUACCUUGUAUGUUCUUGCUCCCAGUUUACUUUACUGUAAUGAUCAGUGUCAUUCAGUUCCUAUCUUUGAUGUGAGGAUGUUCAGCACCUGUUCACACUGACACCUUUUCACACUGACACCUGUUCACACUGACACCUGUUCACAAUGACACCUGUUCACACUGACACCUGUUCACACUGACACCUGUUCACAAUGACACCUGUUCACAAUGACACCUGUUCCCACAGACACCUGUUCACACUGACACCUGUUCACACUGACACCUGUUCACACUGACACCUGUUCCCACAGACACCUGUUCACAAAGACACCUGUUCACAAUGACACCUGUUCACACUGACACCUGUUCACACUGACACCUGUUCAACACCCAGUUUACACCUGGUGACAUGGUUCCAAUCAAUCUACAGUAAUCAGAGCUACACUGACACCAUAGUGUCAACACCCAGUUUACACCUGGUGACAUGAUUCCUAUCAAUCUACAGUAAUCCCUGGCAAAGACAGUCAUGAAGAAUAGAAAAUGAUGACUUAAAAAAGUUUUAAAUAUUUUUUUUACAACAGAAACUGAUAUAUGACAAGCUGGGGUUUUCCUGUCAAAUAGCAGGGGAACAUAGUGAAUGCCACCAGUAAAACAUGUGUAGCGCUGGGAGUGUCUGCACGACAUCUUGAAACCAGGCUGUCACACUGCACACAUAGCAGCUACACUCAGUAUCUCUCAGCUUUGAUACAGAGUUCCUUUACCUCCUCGUGCCCAGGGCUGGGGAGAAACAUGUAUGUUCUAUGCAUCAGAUCAUUGCUUGGUAACACUUUAAGGUAUGCUGCACGGUGUACAUUUUAGGACCUCCUACGGAGUAGGGAUGUCCUAAAAUGUACAACGUACCACUGAGCAUCUAUAAGGGGAAUUUGAAGAAAAAUAAAUAGGAUUACCAGUCCAGGAAACAGCAAAGGAAUGAUUCAUUCACAACAGCCGUCUGGAACAUGCGUAUCUCUUCUUAGUGUUAGCAUGAGAG